UAUAUCAGUCAACUCAGUACAUUUGUCAUUGCAGUCAGAACUCAGCAUGAAAAUGACGACACCUGCUCAGUUCCUUGGGCUUCUGUUGCUCUGGUUUCCAGGUGCCAGGUGUGACAUCCAGUUGACCCAGUCUCCAUCCACAUUGCCUGCAUCUCUGGGAGAGAGAGUCACCAUCAGUUGCAGAGCAAGUCAGAGUAUUAGCAAUAGUUUAAACUGGUAUCAGCAGAAACCAGAUGGAACUGUUAAACGCCUGAUCUACUCUACAUCCACUUUAGAAUCUGGUGUCCCAUCAAGGUUCAGUGGCAGUGGGUCUGGGACAGAUUAUUCUCUCUCCAUCAGCAGUCUUGAGUCUGAAGAUUUUGCAAUGUAUUACUGUCUACAGUAUGCUACUUAUCCUCACACAGUGAUAUAAGUCAUAACAUAAACUCCAUGAAA